CCUACGGGAGGCAGCAGUGGGGAAUUUUGGACAAUGGGCGAAAGCCUGAUCCAGCCAUACCGCGUGCGGGAAGAAGGCCUUCGGGUUGUAAACCGCUUUUGUCAGGGAAGAAAUGCUUCGGGCUAAUACCCUGGGGUGAUGACGGUACCUGAAGAAUAAGCACCGGCUAACUACGUGCCAGCAGCCGCGGUAAUACGUAGGGUGCAAGCGUUAAUCGGAAUUACUGGGCGUAAAGCGUGCGCAGACGGUUCUAUAAGACAGAUGUGAAAUCCCCGGGCUCAACCUGGGAACUGCAUUUGUGACUGUAGAGCUAGAGUACGGUAGAGGGGGAUGGAAUUCCGCGUGUAGCAGUGAAAUGCGUAGAUAUGCGGAGGAACACCGAUGGCGAAGGCAAUCCCCUGGACCUGUACUGACGCUCAUGCACGAAAGCGUGGGGAGCAAACAGGAUUAGAUACCCUGGUAGUCCACGCCCUAAACGAUGUCAACUGGUUGUUGGGAGGGUUUCUUCUCAGUAACGAAGCUAACGCGUGAAGUUGACCGCCUGGGGAGUACGGCCGCGAAGGUUGAAACUUAAAUUGAAAUUGACGG
rnacentral:rRNA from 1 species